rnacentral:rRNA from 1 species
CCUACGGGGGGCUGCAGUGGGGAAUUUUGGACAAUGGGCGCACGCCUGAUCCAGCCAUUCCGCGUGAGUGAAGAAGGCCUUCGGGUUGUAAAGCUCUUUCGCAAGGGAAGAAAACUUAUCCUCUAACAUAGGAUGAGGUUGACGGUACCUUGAUAAGAAGCACCGGCUAACUCCGUGCCAGCAGCCGCGGUAAUACGUACGGAGCUAGCGUUAGUCGGAAGUACUGGGGGUAAAUUGUGAGCAAGAUGUGAAAUCCCCGAGCUCAACUUGGGAACUGCGUUUGAAACUACAAGACUAGAAUAGGUCAGAGGGGGGUAGAAUUCCACGUGUAGCAGUGAAAUGCGUAGAGAUGUGGAGGAAUAUCAAUGGCGAAGGCAGCCCCCUGGGAUCAUAUUGACGCUCAUGCACGAAAGCGUGGGGAGCAAACAGGACUAGAUACCCCAGUAGUC